rnacentral:tRNA from 1 species
GGUAGCUCAGUCGGUAGAGCAGAGGAUUGAAAAUCCUCGUGUCGGCGGUUCGAUUCCGUCCC